CAAAGAAGAAACGCAAUGCAGACUGAAGAAAAAGAAAUGGAAAACUACGUAGAAGGGGCGCAUUUCAGGAGAGCUAGAAAAGUUUUAUUUAUUGGAAAUACUCGUCGUAAAUACUGCUGUUAUAUGAAAAAAUGCGUUUAUGCCGAAGUGGGCGAUGUGCGUUUUGUUCCGGGAUUUCUCCGUUGCUGUGUGGCAUCACAGUGGUGCACACUCGCUGCUGUGGAGUGGGAGGUGAUGUUGACAGGCGGAGCCGUCACGGCGGAGAUGCGCUUGCGCAUUUCUGCGCAAUUCCAAACGCGUCUCUACACCAGCCGGAGCGGCUUGGAGCUCCAAAGCUUCUCCAAACUGCGCGCACGGAGCGGAAUUUCUAACCCGGAGAAGUGAACAUAUCCACGGAUUUUACUCCUGUUUAACCAGAUCUCAAAGCUGGACUUCAUCUUAGCGCACAGGAGGAUCAAUCAGCGAUCAAUCAGCGCUGCUCACCUGAACUUCCCAGCAUGAAUCAAACCGCGGGAGCCACCAAUGCGUACCGCAGAUGCUCCAAAGGAGGGAAGUCGUGUUGAGACGCUGCGUUGUGAAUUAUUGGCUCGGCUCGGGUCUGUGUGUUGGACCGGAUGAGCCUCCGACGGUCACGGCUGUCCGCUCCAGACGGCAGCCUGACAGUUUUUGUCUGAUUGUCAGGCGGGAUGCGGCGGUAAAAGGUCGCCUGUUGAAUCGUCUGAUACGACGCCUUCCUGGGAGGAUCUGCAGACGUUCCUGUGAGAAUCGGCCCUUUUUGCAGCUGCUGAUGUAUAAACAUGUUUUUCCUUCUCUCGCACAAAAUGUACACAAACCAGGAGUUUGAGUCAGAUCGUCUCCCUGCUGGCUGACCUGAUGACUCACUGCAAACUCUGAUGAUUAUGUUUUUCCUUACUGUAAUUUCAUGAUCUUCCUGGUUGCCGUUAUUACUCAUAAUUCAUUUUCUGUUUCUAAACUAUGCAGUUUAGAGUCUUGUAUGAUGGAUUAAAGUGUGGAUUCAAUUAAAUACAUUUCAUUAUUAUGAAAUGUUGACA